rnacentral:rRNA from 1 species
UACGUAGGGUGCAAGCGUUAAUCGGAAUUACUGGGCGUAAAGCGUGCGCAGGCGGUUAUGUAAGACAGAUGUGAAAUGCCCGGGCUUAACCUGGGAACUGCAUUUGUGACUGCAUGGCUAGAGUUUGGCAGAGGGGGGUAGAAUUCCACGUGUAGCAGUGAAAUGCGUAGAUAUGUAGAGGAACACCAGUGGCGAAGGCGGCCAACUGGUCCGGUACUGACGCUGAGGUGCGAAAGCGUGGGGAGCAAACAGG